UACGUAGGGUGCGAGCGUUAAUCGGAAUUACUGGGCGUAAAGCGUGCGCAGGCGGUUCGUUGUGUCGGCGGUGAAAGCCCCGGGCUUAACCUGGGAAUGGCAAUGGAGACUGCAAGGCUAGAGUUUGGCAGAGGGGGGUAGAAUUCCACGUGUAGCAGUGAAAUGCGUAGAUAUGUGGAGGAACACCGAUGGCGAAGGCAGCCCCCUGGGUCAAAACUGACGCUCAUGCACGAAAGCGUGGGGAGCAAACAGG
rnacentral:rRNA from 1 species